AAGGGAUAUUUAUGGCUGGACCCUUUUCAAGAGGCUCACUGACAUUGAUGGAUAUUAAUAAAGUUGAUGCUAUAAAGUUUCACCAGGAAUGGCAGAAGGAUGAACCUGCCAAGUAAGCACAGGCUGUUCCAAAGCCUAGUAUAGGAAUCAUUGCGCCAGACUGGGAAAAGUCUUUCUCAUCUACAUGGUACAGGAACUGCAGAGAUUUCUAUGGAAAAAUAAUGAACACAUUUAAGACAAGUUGAAAUCAGAGUUUUCUUCUAAGAGAAAAUGAAAACAGUAAUAACACCCAGAGAGAUGGCCUGAAACUUGGUUGUUUCAAAGAAAGCUGUUGGCCCAUCUCCCCACUUCACCUGACUCCCAUUCCCACACAGGCAACCCAACACAUUCAAGGUCAUGUCGGAACAGCUAACCUGACAGGGUGGGAUGCGGCCUACUGCUCUGAAGACUCGAAAUGCUGACGGCACCCUAUUAGCUUUCUGUUCACUUCAGUCAACUUCCUUCUCAUGGUCUAUCCUCUUCCAUAUCGUGAUGCCUUCCUUCCAUGUAUCAUCCAUCUUACAACAUUGUG
rnacentral:lncRNA from 1 species